rnacentral:rRNA from 1 species
CCCUUAGAUGUUCUGGGCCGCACGCGCGCUACACUGGUGCGUUCAACAAGUUUACAACCUUGAUUGACAAGUCUGGGUAAUCUUUUGAAUGCGCACCGUGCUAGGGAUAGAUUAUUGCAAUUAUUAAUCUUGAACGAGGAAUUCCUAGUAAACGCAAGUCAUCAGCUUGCAUUGAUUACGUCCCUGCCCUUUGUACACACCGCCCGUCGCACCUACUGAUUGAAUGACUCGGUGAAAAAUUGAGACUGUGAGAACAAUUGAUUCAUUUCAAAUGUACUCGUGGGAACUUUUUUUAACCUCGCCAUUUAGAAGAAGGUGAAGUCGUAACA